AUAAGCGGAGGAAAAGAAACCAACAGGGAUUGCCCUAGUAACGGCGAGUGAAGCGGCAACAGCUCAAAUUUGAAAUCUGGCGUCUUUGGCGUCCGAGUUGUAAUUUGCAGAGGGCGCUUUGGCAUUGGCAGCGGUCCAAGUUCCUUGGAACAGGACGUCACAGAGGGUGAGAAUCCCGUACGUGGUCGCUAGCCUUUACCGUGUAAAGCCCCUUCGACGAGUCGAGUUGUUUGGGAAUGCAGCUCUAAAUGGGAGGUAAAUUUCUUCUAAAGCUAAAUACUGGCCAGAGACCGAUAGCGCACAAGUAGAGUGAUCGAAAGAUGAAAAGCACUUUGGAAAGAGAGUUAAAAAGCACGUGAAAUUGUUGAAAGGGAAGCGCUUGCAGCCAGACUUGCCUGUAGUUGCUCAUCCGGGUUUUUACCCGGUGCACUCUUCUACGGGCAGGCCAGCAUCAGUUUGGGCGGUUGGAUAAAGGUCUCUGUCAUGUACCUCUCUUCGGGGAGAACUUAUAGGGGAGACGACAUGCAACCAGCCUGGACUGAGGUCCGCGCAUCUGCUAGGAUGCUGGCGUAAUGGCUGUAAGCGGCCCGUCUUGAAACACGGACCAAGGAGUCUAACAUCUAUGCGAGUGUUUGGGUGUCAAGCCCGAGCGCGUAAUGAAAGUGAACGGAGGUGGGAACCUUUCGGGGUGCACCAUCGACCGAUCCUGAUGUCUUCGGAUGGAUUUGAGUAAGAGCAUAGCUGUUGGGACCCGAAAGAUGGUGAACUAUGCUUGAAUAGGGUGAAGCCAGAGGAAACUCUGGUGGAGGCUCGCAGCGGUUCUGACGUGCAAAUCGAUCGUCAAAUUUGGGCAUAGGGGCGAAAGACUAAUCGAACUAUCUAGUAGCUGG
rnacentral:rRNA from 1 species